GUCUUUGGUUAUCUAGCUGUAUGAGUGUGAUUUACCCAUCAUAAAGCUAGAUAACCGAAAGU
rnacentral:pre_miRNA from 12 species